UUUUUUUUUUUGUUCUUCAUUAUAUCUUUUUUCUUAUCCAUUUCUUUCCCCUUCUUCUUUAUUUUUAAUUUUUUAUUCUUCAUUUUUUUUCUUUCUUUCUUCCUUCAGCUAAGUUUCUGAAUUUUGAUUUCAUCUUGAUCUCUUUUUUUUUUUUUAUAAUAACAGGGCAAAAUGGUCAGAACUCUCUCCAUCCUAUCAAGAUUUAAAAUGUUGAUACCAAAAAAAUUACUUGCAAUUAGUAAUUCACGUGAUUCUUCUAUUAAGAUUUCCCUCUGUCAGUGAUGCACAUGGGGGCGGGCUUCGAACUGUCUUACCGGAACAAAUAAAGCUAUCAGGAUCUCUCUCUACGGUUGUAAAGUGAAAUAUGAGCCUGCAAUUAGCAUUCUUUUUAAACCAGUCAAUUGAAAUCAGCUCAAUGCGCUUCAACCUAUUUAUUUGAGGAUGGCAUUUGGGUUAAAGAUUGUCUAAUUAAUAUAUGAUGUUAAUACUUUACAAUUAGCUCUCCUGAACUGUGAUGCUAAUUUUUAGACUUGUACGAGAGAGAGAGAGAUGAUGGAAAAUGAAAUCAUCGAUUAAACUAAGGCCAGUCGGCAGGCAAUUUGUUCUAAGAAUAAUCACUGGUUGUAUCAUAAUACUUCAUCUUUAUGGCGUGCGGUUGAUUU